CAGAAGUUCAAUCCGCUGGAAGCCUUCCUCUUGGGCCAACCUCAACCUUUGGCUAGAGUAAGCAGACACUAUGCAUUUUGGGAUCUAGCUAUCAAGCUCAUCACUCUUAGAGAUAUUGAAACAGAAGGUGAAUGCAGUUGUCAGGUUUAACUUUAUCACAAAACUGUAAUGGCUCUCCUAUAACAAAACUAUGCAAGGGAUAUGCAGAUGGCAGAAUCAUUGCAGGAUCUGUGAUUUUGGUUUGCCUGGCACUGCAACACAGCAGUGAUGAGCGUAUGUGGCAUGUAUUACAACUGCACUUUAAUCCUGAGUUGGAUCAUCAAGGAAGAAGAAGGGCAGGGAAACAUAUCUGAAGGGAGAGGGUCUCAGCAAUUUUUAACUGCAUAUUGUAAUGGUUUCCAGCAUUUUAGUUCCUACUUCCUACCUUUCCUGAUCCUGGCUACUUGGCCUUUGGCUUGCAUUCUUGAUUAAGUGACUUUGCUUCAGAAUGCAGAUCUUGUUAAACCUAUCAUCUUGUUUAAGACACCUCUAUUACCCCUGUUUCCUGAUCCAGAUUUCAGACCGCACAUAUUUUUGUUCUGUUUUUCCCCUAGCUGUAGCUUUAUUUUUGCUCCUAGGGAACCUGUGUCUCUACAGGCCUUCCCUGGUAGAAGUCUUACCAAUGACGUGUAUCUUCAUGCACCUGGGUUGCAGGUCAUCCAAUGACGAGGCUCCAAGCCUGACAUGAAGGAAAGAAUAUAUAUUAAAUCACAGGUCAUGUUUGUCAGAUAACAGCACAUUCUCAGUUUAUCAGUUUUCAGUAUAUACACUUUUUUCUUUAUACAUACUUUGUCUUCAUGUUUCAAUCAGACACAUCACCAUUAAAGUAUAGCACUGCAUUAUUUCCAUAAAUUAUAAAAAGACAAACACAACUUGACAGUCAUAUAUUUCCAGACCGCUAACAAAUACACUGCAAGGGGUUGUAAAUAAUAUCUGCAUCCAAAGUCAGAAUAAAUUCAGCUGUUACCAGAAACAGAGGUAAAUUUUAAAUUGAACCCAUUGAUUUCUCCAUGAUCAGGGAGGGGGGUUGUCUGAUGAGAGAUGUUUCUCAAUUUUAACAUCUAAUUGUCAGUAUUUGUUUAGAGAUAAUAGUAUACUAGAUUUGAGAUGUCUUGUCUAUUACACUAAACUCCAAAUUUAACAAUUCCGAACCACCCCCGGGACAAACCGCAGAAUUGGGAACCUAUGCUGUUGUUCAUUUAUCUUUGGUUGUAGCAAAGCCCUACACACAAUAAG